CGUCAGCUCGUGUCGUGAGAUGUUGGGUUAAGUCCCGCAACGAGCGCAACCCUUNAUCUUAGUUGCCNGCAUUCAGUUGGGCACUCUAAGGUGACUGCCGGUGACAAACCGGAGGAAGGUGGGGAUGACGUCAAAUCAUCAUGCCCCUUAUGACCUGGGCUACACACGUGCUACAAUGGACAGAACAAAGGGCUGCGAGACCGCAAGGUUUAGCCAAUCCCACAAAUCUGUUCUCAGUUCGGAUCGCAGUCUGCAACUCGACUGCGUGAAGCUGGAAUCGCUAGUAAUCGCGGAUCAGCAUGCCGCGGUGAAUACGUUCCCGGGCCUUGUACACACCGCCCGUCACACCACGAGAGUUUGCAACACCCGAAGUCGGUGAGGUAACCUUUA
rnacentral:rRNA from 1 species